rnacentral:rRNA from 1 species
GGUCCAAGCGUUAUCCGGAUUUAUUGGGUUUAAAGGGUGCGUAGGCGGAAAUAUAAGUCAGUGGUGAAAUCCUGCAGCUUAACUGCAGAACUGCCGCUGAUACUGUGUUUCUUGAGUAUAGUUGAAGUGGGCGGAAUGUGUCAUGUAGCGGUGAAAUGCAUAGAUAUGACACAGAACACCGAUUGCGAAGGCAGCUCACUAAACUAUUACUGACGCUGAGGCACGAAAGCGUGGGUAGCGAACAGGAUUAGAUACCCUGGUAGUCCACGCCGUAAACGAUGAUUACUCGAUGUUGGCGAUAUACUGUCAGCGUCCAAGCGAAAGUGUUAAGUAAUCCACCUGGGGAGUACGGUCGCAAGAUUGAAACUCAAAGGAAUUGACGGGGGCCCGCACAAGCGGAGGAACAUGUGGUUUAAUUCGAUGAUACGCGAGGAACCUUACCUGGGCUUAAAUGUAAGAUGACAGAUUGAGAAAUCAGUCCUUCUUCGGACAUUUUACAAGGUGCUGCAUGGCUGUCGUCAGCUCGUGCCGUGAGGUGUCGGGUUAAGUCCCAUAACGAGCGCAACCCCUAUCUCUAGUUGCCAGCGAGUAAUGUCGGGGACUCUAGAGAAACUGCCUACGCAAGUAGUGAGGAAGGCGGGGAUGACGUCAAGUCAGCACGGCCCUUAUGUCCAGGGCUACACACGUGUUACAAUGGCCGGUACAGAGGGCAGCUACCUGGUGACAGGAUGCAAAUCUCUAAAGCCGGUCUCAGUUCGGAUCGAAGUCUGCAACUCGACUUCGUGAAGUUGGAUUCGCUAGUAAUCGCGCAUCAGCCUCGGCGCGGUGAAUACGUUCCCGGGCCUUGCACACACUGCCCGUC